rnacentral:lncRNA from 1 species
UGACAUUUGACAGGCCUGGAAGUUAUCGUAAAGCAAAAAUGAGAGCGGAAUUCUUCAUACAUAAAGCAUUCACUGAUACAGAGGAAAAACCAUUGGACAAGCAAGAACAUCACCAUUCACACACUGUCUCCGUGUCUUCCCAGCUGCACUCCUGGAGCUGAAACGUCAUCCUCUCUUCAGUGAUGUGGACUGGGAAAAUCUGCAGCAUCAAACUAUGCCUUUCAUACCCCAACCAGAUGAUGAAACAGAUACAUCCUACUUUGAAGCCAGAAAUAAUGCUCAGCACCUGACCGUAUCUGGAUUUAGUCUAUAGCACAUAAAUUUUCCUUUUAAUCUAACCUUGGCUUAUAAACUAUCAUAAUUAUAUACUCCUUCAUAAGAGAGUGAUCUAAGGGGGAAGAAGAAUCAUUAUGUUACUUGGAUCAAUGAGUUUUUAAUGUAUGUUACAGCUUCCACAGAGUUAAAAGUCUCUCAAGAAUACAGUCAAUAACUUGUCUUAAUCUCAGAGUUGUGUAUAGAUCGUCAAAACUUUUUUCACUUUAUUUUGUUACCGCACCUUAUGAAAAUUCAUGCAUCAGUGAAACUAGAAUGACACUACUCUGUUAGAAGAGGAACAAGCUUUGAGCCUAACUUUCUUUCACAUGUUGAUUUCAGUCCACCAUUCACAGUUUGCUGUUAAAAUAACAAAAUCAUACGGUUUUUUUGUGAUUUGUUUGGACAUGAUUGCCUGCAAAAGCUGAAGUCUUGAGAGCAAUCAUUUAAGCUUGCACUUGUGGCUUCAAAACUGCAGCUGGGAAACUCCUUCAUUUGGUAGUGUAACUCCUUUAGGGAAUGAGGAAUAAAAAGGAUAGAGGCUUUAGCUUACUUUGAAACAGUCUUGCUGCCUUGACUACUUCUGGUGCUUUCUCUACAAUACAUAUUUGCUUAAAAUUGUACUGGAGAGCUUAGGUGUGAUAUGCUGUAGCAAUUUUAACAGCUUAUUCAAUUUUAAUAAAACGUGGUGGUUUACAUUUUAAAAGAAUUUGUUUAAAACGUGCAACAUUACAAGAAACAACCUGAUCCUUAAAAAUAAAUAAUAACUUCUUUUUGCUUAAUAAAUGUAACACUUCAAGUAUAUUAUCUGUCAACAUCCUUCUAUUAAAUAUAUA